rnacentral:lncRNA from 1 species
AGACUUGCUGCUUCAAUGACUGCUAAAAUGUAGCGUCACCUACCUGGGUAAGUGGGAAAUAAACUUUAAUGGUAAAGCUCUCCGGCUCAACUUUGCUUAUUCUGACGUCCCUAGUUCGUGUCUCCUUUUGACUUUGAGCCAUUUAAUCGCCUAUGGCUUUUGUGUGCUCCCGCCCUACCCUUGGUGCUGCCUGGCUCCUUACCUGUCCUUUCUGCUCGGAGCCCGGAGGGAAAAGAGGGAGACUCAGGGGGCAGGCGAGCGUGGGGCAGGCAGCGGGGAGGGCAGGAGCGUGUUGGGGUGUGUGUGUGUGUACAUGUGUGUGUGUGUGCGGGUACAUGUGUGUGAAGGUACAUGUGUGUGCGGGUACAUGUGUGUGCGGGUACAUGUGUGUGUGUGUACAUGUGUGUGUGUGUGUGUACAUGUGUGUGUGUGCGGGUACAUGUGUGUGCGUGCGUGCGCGCAGCCAGGGGAAGGCAGGAAUCCAGCUGCUCCUUCUCCCUCUGUGAGCACAUGCGGGAAAACAAGUUGUUGCGCGUUCUGUAUGUGUUUGUGUGUGCAUUCCUCGUUAUAUGUGGAUCUUUUGAAUAAAAAAGCAUGCAGACGAAUGUAAUGAAAUGUCUCUCUCAUGGAGAUGAUGUAUUUGAGCGGAAAGCUGCCGGAUAUGUUGAGGUGGUUCAAAGCAGCGGUCACAGCGUGUCUUUGUCAUUUGGGGCGGUGAGUGAUUGUAGGAGGGAGGGAAGGUUGCCACCUCUUUCCUUGAGGAGUCCAGAGGCACAGAGGGGCAGAGCCGCGCCGCAUGGAGUCGGCGCUAGGGAGGGAGGGACUGCUCCCUUCUCCGGAGGGCUGCAGAGCUGCUCCUCCGGCGCCUCCUCCGGCCCUGGCACCGGCCCCGGCCGCUCUCCCUGCCUCGCCAGAACACGAAAACCCUCCCCCGCCGAUGCCGGAGACACUCGUCUUUCUAUCUGCAGCAUCAGCGAGAAAGCCCAGCUCGGCGCAGGCUCAGUGCUCACCGCCGCAGUCCCGGACGGAGGAGGGGGGUUCGGGAGCGCAGCAUCUUCGCAGCGGGUUAAGUAGGAUUAGUACCAAAUCCCUAUUAUAUUUGCCAAGCAACUUGAAUUUAUCAAAAUUCCCCCUCGCUGUUCUGGAGCUCCGUGAGGAGGAAAUUUUGCUCACAGUUGUCUUCACAUGCAAUCUCUCUCUGAAUGUGCAAUGUCUUUCCUGCUCGGGAGUGCUGCGUCCUUCACAGUGGAUUGGUUCCUCUUUCGGAGCAGAGGAGAGCAUAAAAGAUCUGGCAUGUCUUCAUGAUUGUACUGUGUCAGCUGCCUGUUGA